rnacentral:rRNA from 1 species
CAAGAGCGUAUAUUAAAGUUGUUGCAGUUAAAAAGCUCGUAGUUGGAUUUCUGGUACAACGCGCCUGGCCCGCUUACGUGAGUGCCGGUGCGCGUUUGCCAUCCUUCUAGAAAACGUCUCUACUCGGGCAACUGAGCCGGAUUCGCGAUCUAGAUCUUUUACUUUGAAAAAUUAGAGUGUUUCAAGCAGGCUGUUGCAGGAAUACAUUAGCAUGGAAUAACGAAUGUGUCUGGAAUAUUGGUUAAUUCUAGAUUACGAUUAAUAGGGACAGUUGGGGGAGUUAGUAUUAAUUAGUCAGAGGUGAAAUUACUUUGGUAGUUUAAUUUAAAGAACUAACGUAUGCGAAAGACAUUUCUUCAAGGAGUUGUUUUCUUAUUAAUUACAAGAAACGAAAGAAGUUGGGGUAG